AUCUUUCUAGUAUAAAUUUUACAAAUGACUUCCAAUCAUUUAAUCUUGGUUUAAAUCCAAGGAAAGAUA
ensembl:Mt_tRNA